rnacentral:rRNA from 1 species
GAUGAACGCUGGCGGCGUGCCUAAUACAUGCAAGUCGAGCGAACGGACGAGAAGCUUGCUUCUCUGAUGUUAGCGGCGGACGGGUGAGUAACACGUGGAUAACCUACCUAUAAGACUGGGAUAACUUCGGGAAACCGGAGCUAAUACCGGAUGAUAUUUUGAACCGCAUGGUUCAAAAGUGAAAGACGGUCUUGCUGUCACUUAUAGAUGGAUCCGCGCUGCAUUAGCUAGUUGGUAAGGUAACGGCUUACCAAGGCAACGAUGCAUAGCCGACCUGAGAGGGAGAUCGGCCACACGGGAACUGAGACACGGUCCAGACUCCUACGGGAGGCAGCAGUAGGGAAUCUUACGCAAUGGGCGAAAGCCUGACGGAGCAACGCCGCGUGAGUGAUGAAGGUCUUCGGAUCGUAAAACUCUGUUAUUAGGGAAGAACAUAUGUGUAAGUAACUGUGCACAUCUUGACGGUACCUAAUCAGAAAGCCACGGCUAACUACGUG